rnacentral:rRNA from 1 species
AGAACUUAGCAGAGAUGCUUUGGUGCCCUUCGGGAACUCUGAGACAGGUGCUGCAUGGCUGUCGUCAGCUCGUGUUGUGAAAUGUUGGGUUAAGUCCCGCAACGAGCGCAACCCUUUAUCCUUUGUUGCCAGCGGGUUAUGCCGGGAACUCAAAGGAGACUGCCAGUGAUAAACUGGAGGAAGGUGGGGAUGACGUCAAGUCAUCAUGGCCCUUACGAGUAGGGCUACACACGUGCUACAAUGGCGCAUACAAAGAGAAGCGACCUCGCGAGAGCAAGCGGACCUCAUAAAGUGCGUCGUAGUCCGGAUUGGAGUCUGCAACUCGACUCCAUGAAGUCGGAAUCGCUAGUAAUCGUAGAUCAGAAUGCUACGGUGAAUACGUUCCCGGGCCUUGUACACACCGCCCGUCACACCAUGGGAGUGGGUUGCAAAAGAAGUAGGUAGCUUAACCUUCGGGAGGGCGCUUACCACUUUGUGAUUCAUGACUGGGGUGAAGUCGUAACAAGGUAAGCGUAGUGCU